rnacentral:rRNA from 1 species
UACAUAGGGUGCAAGCGUUAAUCGGAAUUACUGGGCGUAAAGCGUGCGUAGACGGUCAUGUAAGUCGGGUGUGAAAGCCCCGGGCUCAACCUGGGAAUUGCAUUCGAGACUGCAUGGCUAGGAUGCGGAAGAGGGAAGCGGAAUUUCCGGUGUAGCGGUGAAAUGCGUAGAUAUCGGAAGGAACACCAGUGGCGAAAGCGGCUUCCUGGUCCAGCAUCGACGUUCAGGCACGAAAGCGUGGGGAGCAAACAGG